CAUCAGAACAAGAGUGGCCAGCAGAUCCAGAGAGGUGAUUCUGUCCCUCUGCUCUGGAGUGUCCAGUGCUGAAGCCACCAGGAUUUCCAUCUGUGCUCCUCACAGCCCAGCCCGGGCAGCUGUCCUGUCCCUGCCAGUCUGCCCCAGCCCCAUGCAGAAGGAACUCUCCAUCAGUGCCAGGGCAGCUACCUUGAUGCCAAGGUAACAGAGGUAGUGGGUGACCGUGAGGCAACUUCAUAAUUGACAUAUCCGACGACUCGUAAAGGUUGC